UACGGAGGAUGCGAGCGUUAUCCGGAUUUAUUGGGUUUAAAGGGUGCGUAGGCGGGCUGUUAAGUCAGCGGUAAAAGCCCGGGGCUCAACCCCGGCGAGCCGUUGAAACGGGCUGUCUUGAGAUGUCGAGAGGUAUGCGGAAUGCGCAGCGUAGCGGUGAAAUGCUUAGAUAUUGCGCAGAACUCCGAUUGCGAAGGCAGCAUACCGGCGGCGAUCUGACGCUGAGGCACGAAAGCGUGGGUAUCGAACAGG
rnacentral:rRNA from 1 species